UGUCGUCUGCGCGCGCCUGUUUACGGAUCUACACAGCUUCGGCUCGAACGAUGCGCGCGCCUUACCUGUUGCUCUGCAAUGCCACCUAUUCUUUUUGCUGCUAAUGCGGCAAUAAGUCGCGUUCCCAGGUUGGGCUGCGCUUCUUUACCUCGAGAGCUCCGCCUUUGAGCGAAUAAGCGCAGGGUUCAGAUUCACCAAUUGCUGCAGAAAUAUGGAGAACUGAAUUUAAGAUUGGAAAAUUGGGAAACCCAGAGAAGCAACAUUGACAGAUCCUUCCACCUGUAUUAGCUAGGAUAGCUGUCUUCUGCUUCCACUGUCAGAGGAAGAUGUCUGAGAUGCCAUUCCCAAAUUCUGCCCCUGAGCAGAGGCUCCUCUGUGCUCACACCCACCCCAACGCCAACUGGAUCACAGAAUUCGUCAUGCGAAAGGCUGGACUAGAUGAAUCCCAAGCCGGAAUUAAGAUUGCCGGAAGAAAUAUCAACAACCUCAGAUAUGCAGAUGACACAACCUUUUGAAGGCAGAAAGUGAGGAGGAAUUAAGGAAGCUUUUAAUGAGGGUGAAAGAGGAGAGCGCAAAAUAUGGUCUGAAGCUCAACAUCAAAAAAACCAAGAUCAUGGCCACUGGUCCCAUCACCUCCUGGCAAAUAGAAGGGGAAGAAAUGGAGGCAGUGAGAGAUUUUACUUUCUUGGGCUCCUUGAUCACUGCAGAUGGUGACAGCAGUCACGAAAUUAAAAGACGCCUGCUUCUUGGGAGAAAAGCAAUGACAAACCUAGACAGCAUCUUAAAAAGCAGAGUCAUCACCUUGCCGACAAAGGUCCGUAUGGUUAAAGCUAUGGUUUUCCCAGUAGUGAUGUAUGGAAGUGAGAGCUGGACCAUAAAGAAGGCUGAUCACCAAAGAAUUGAUGCUUUUGAAUUAUGGUGCUGGAGGAGACUCUUGAGAGUCCCAUGGACUGCAAGAAGAUCAAACCUAUCCAUUCUUCAGGAAAUCAGCCCUGAGUGCUCACUGGAAGGACAGAUCGUGAAGCUCCAACACUUUGGCCACCUCAUGAGAAGAGAAGACUCCCUGGAAAAGACCCUGAUGUUGGGAAAGAUUGAGGGCACUAGGAGAAGGGGACGACAGAGGAUGAGAUGGUUGGACAGUGUUCUCGAAGCUACGAACAUGAGUUUGACCAAACUGCAGGAGGCAGUGCAAGACAGGAGUGCCUGGCGUGCUAUGGUCCAUGGGGUCACGAAGAGUCGGACACGACUAAACGACUAAACAACAACACAAUAAUAACACACAAUAAUAACACACAUCUCUCUAUCCUUCAUCCAGGCAAGCAAAAGGUAUUAUCAGAGAUCAAGGGAUAAUGUCCAGCCAGGCAAAAGUACUCAAGGACAGUAUAAGCAGGACUGGUGAGUGCUAUAGCCUAGAGCAGGAAUAGGCAAACUACAGCCCUCCAGAUGUUUUGGGACUACAACUCCCAUGAUCCCUAGAUAACAGGACCAGUGGUCAGGGAUGAUGGGAAUUGUAGUCCCAAAACAUCUGGAGGGCGAGUUUGCCUAUGCCUGGCCUAGAGACCUAAGGCCAGGCAGAGGGGUAUGACAGGCUGAAUACAGCCCCUGAGUGUAAGGUUCCUAACCCCUGAUUUCCCCGUGCCUGAUUCCUGGCUGGCUCACAACUCCAAGCAGCCUAAGGAUUAGAUACUAACUUUGUGGGUUUCUAUUUUGGAAGCCUGCAUAGGUCACCUUUCUCAACAAAGAGGCUGUGCCAAAGUGCCAGAUUUCGAGGAAGAUCUAGGCCUCUUUUAUUGUCUAGUUCGGGUCUCUUCCGCAUGCCCUCAAUGAGAGAAGAAAAGCAUAUGCCUACUGCUCGCCAGUAGAUGGUAGCACAGGCUUUGGCACAAGAAAGGCUCUUGGCUAUUGUUAUUUGCAGCUGUUGCAUUGGAUACAGUUGUGGGCUUGUGAAGGGGAGAUGUUCAGUUUGGAGAUCUGACACCCAUCAUUCUUGUGACUGGAAAUCUCCAUGGAAGUCUGUCCUCAUGCCAACUAGACAGGGCAUAACAAUAACAUGAGUCUUGCUGGAUCAAUGUGAAGAUUCGUCUAGAUCCAGCAUCCUCUUGUUCAUAGUGGCCAGCCAGACUUACUCUUUAAUUUUGCUUAUUACAAAUAUUUGUAACCCCCUAUAUGGAUGGCAUGGCAUAAAAUGAAUAGACGAUGCAAUGGUGGAAAUACUGGAAAGUGUGGGAUAACACUUGCUUUGAUACAAGGCCAUUUCUUUUGGAAGACAAGCUGGAUUACACAUACUGUAACUUGGAGAGUGAAUCAGGGCCUCUUUACUUCAUCUUAAAGUCUGGAGCAGUUCUUAGGGUAGGAGGUGUUUUUCCAGAUGAAUGUGGCUUCAUUAAGAGACUCGGGCUGUGACCCCCAUGUAUCUCAAUCUGUCCAUACUUUUCCACUGCCCUCCCUCUCUCACCCAGCUUAUCUAGGGAACUGAACCAUCUCAUGGCUAUUGGUGGAGCCCCGUUGUGGUCUAAACCACUGAACCUCUUGGGCUUGCUGAUUCGAAGAUUGGCGGUUUGAAUCCGUUUGACGGGGUAAGCUCCUGUUGCUCUGCCCCAGCUUCUGGGAGCCUAGCAGUUUGAAAGCACGCCAGUGCAAGUAGAUAAAUAGGUACCACUGCGGCAGAAAAGUAAACAGCAUUUCCGUGCGCUUUGGUUUCCACCACGGGGUUCCAUUGCGCCAGAAGCAUUUUAGUCCUGCUGGCCACAUGACCCGGAAAGCUGUCUGUGGACAAAUGCCGGCUCCCUCGGCCUGAAAGAGAGAUGAACGCCGCAACCCCAUAGUCAGACUUAACCAUCAUCUAGGGGUCACUUUCCUUAAAUUUUUUUUUAAAAAAAAACCUUUUAUACAUUCAAAGCAAUAUCAUGCCACUUCAAACAUUCAUGGUUUCCCCCCAAGAAUUAUGGGUGAGGCCUGUAAUUUGUUAAGGGUGCUAAGAGUUGUUAGAAGACCCCUCUUCCCCUCACAAAGCUACCAUUCCCAGAGCAAUUUAUCAAUCAAUCCUUCUUCCUAGGGAACUCUGGGAAUGGUAACACUAUGAGGGGAAUAGGGCUCUCCUAACGACUGGACCUAAUGGUCAGGGGUCCCUUUACCUUUUUUAACACCUCUCAGCACCCUCAACAAACUACAGCUCCCAGAAUUCUUUGGGGGAAGUGUCAGUGAGAGAGAAUAUAUCCCCUAAGCUAGCCUGCUGCUCUAGGGCACAGUGAAGGCUGCUGUUCCAUCACAAGGCUGUGGGGAGGAAUUAGACUCAGUGUACCUUUAAACCAAAAUCUAAAGUGAAGAAAUACUCAAAUUGAAACACAGCCAUCUUUUGAAAUCUGCACUUACCCAAUUUUUGCAAAUCCAGUUCCCCAACCAGUGUUUACAAAAAUGCAUCUAUUAGGGGAAAGUGUGCAUAAAAUAUACAACAAUCCAUUUUAUUCGGGGGGAAUGGCUUUCAAAAAUAUGUACAUUUAGUAAAAACUGUGUAUAAAAAAUGGGUUUGUUGGGAGAAAUCUGCACUAAAAUGCUGAUGAUCUUUCAUGAGGAUCUUUUUUUUAAUUACAAAUUGCUGCAAAAUGUGCAGAACUGAAUUUAAGAUGGGAAAAAAAUGAGAAACAGAGAGCAAUAAAACUUACAGAUCUUCCUGUCCCUAAUCCAUCUCUAUCUGUCCCUAUCAGCCCAGGUGGCUUCUGUACCUAGAAUGGGGACACCCACCCACACAUACAUACCAUUAUCUACUUUGGUUUAGAUCAGAGGCAGAUUUAGGGUAGCGCAACCGGUUUGAUCACACUGGAUGCAAAGCCUUGGAGGCACCCUAGGAGAUGCCACAACUAUUAUUUAGAGUGUGAGAGAUCAAGGUUGCUGCUGGAAUUUGAGACCCCAAGGUCUGCCACUGGAGGUGUGGAACCUUUAUGCCUUAGGGCAGGGGUAGGCAACCUAAGGCCCAUGGGCCACAAGAGGCCCAUGGGGGUCGUUUAACUGGGCCCCGA